CUCCGAUGUCACGUCGGGGCUGCCCGGCCGCCGCUUUGCAGCACCGCAGCUCCCGUCAGUCCCGGGUAAAUUUGUCAACAAUUCGCAACCGGGCUGGUAAUUGCAUUCCUGGAAUCCGCAGCGCGAGAUGUAAAGAUAGGAAGCUGCCUCGACUUUCCGCUUGGAAUAAUCGCUCCUGCUCGCAGCGACCCGUUCGUUCCUCUCCCCGCGUCCCUCCGGACGCGCUCCCUCCUCCUGCCGUGCCUUACCCACAGCCGCUCCAGAACCAUCGCUGGCCGCACCCCACUCGUGCCCCACCGCUGCGGGAUGAGACGCAGCUCCCCGCUCCCUUCUGCGCCCACACCCCCGACCCAACUUUCCGUCCUGGCCCGCGCCGCUGCCGCCCAGGAAUGGGACAAAGUUGAACUCCGUUGGCAGCCGGAGAGCGACUCGAGGGCAGAAUUCGAGCAAAAGCUCUGAUUUGCCGAAUUCUGCUCUUUGAUUUGUAUUUGUGCGUUAUUGCUACUGCUAAGGUUGUUGCCAACCUCAAUUAGAUCACAAAUGAGAUCAGUUUAAUUCAACUCCCAAACUGUGACCUGACCGUGGUCUGAAAGUAUUCAAAAACGCGUUUUAAGCCUUCCUUUGAUUUCAAAAGGAAUACUGCAUGCUUGGUCAUUCAUACAAAUAACAUAAAACGUAAUUAUGGGAUGAUUUGGCAGAUGACAUUCCUGCCAAACGCCGCUCCAUGCCAGGCGCUGUAAUGCUAUGGCUGCUGUCCUGGUGGCUGAGCGCAGCCCCGGUGCAGGGCGGGAGCCAUGGGAUGGAGGUGCUGGGAUGGCUUUGGGGAGGCACAGCACGGAGCCCCCAGCCCAAAACUGCUGCAUCACUCGGGGGGGAAUGCGGAUGCACUGUCGGAUCACCGGGAGGCUGUGACAAAGGGAGCUUGCAGCUCGACACACGGGUAACAACAUAGCAAACACCUUUAAUUCUGUCAUGUCUCAUACCCUUUGCUUUCUCACACGUUCGUGGCUGCUCUAACAUUGACACCUACACUUUAAAAAAAAAAAAAAAUCGGCAAAAAAAACCUCGACAACAAAAAUCUUCAAAUGAAGCAAUCUUAUUCUAUAGCCAAAAAAUAAAGAAAAAAGAAAAAAAAGGAAAAAAAAAAAAGAAAAAAAGGAAAGAAAGAAACACCUGGAAAGUUAUGCUCAGUGAAAAUAACCAACUUCUGAGCUCGUUCUCCAAGCAGCUCGGAGCAGAUCAGCCUUCCCCACGCAGAAGGCUCUUCCCCCUCUGCACCCUGCAGAGCUGCCCUCCAGCAGCCCUGAGCCAUGCCAAUGGGUUUGCCCUCGGGACUUCUCCUCUGCCCGGCUGCUGGAGCAGGGAUCCUGCAGGGAUCCUCCCUUAGCAGAGCUUUUGGAAUCUGAAGUGGAUGUUACAGGUGUGAGGGUACGUAGGUAUAGUAGAGAGUCAUACGUAGGCAUAUAGAGAUAUGUAGGUAUGUAGAGAUACAUAGGUAUAUAUAGGGUGAGUGUGUGUGCAACUCCUAAGCUAUGAAGGACACUUUGUGGCAACGUCUAACAGCUCUUCCCAACCCUUUACUCGACCCCAAAAGCUCACCUACACAGAGGUGGGAUGAGCUCAGCAGUGCCACCUCCUCACCCCACCUGCCCUAUGCCUGUGGCACACGAAGGGUUAACGCGUGGUGGGUUCCCUGGGUAGGUUAAUAUCACAGCUGCCUGGUAAAGCAUUACCCAGCACCUCACUCCACAAAAGCCUGCUUUUGCAAACAGACUCCUACUUUUCCCCAAGUGUCCAAAGGUGUUUACCGAAGUAAAUCUGCCUAAAUCCUCCAUCGCUUGGGUCAUGGGGGUGGUUAGGAGGGUGGAAGGUGUAGAGAUAAUCUCUUUUUGUAAAUUCUGUAAAUCUUCUGGGGAAGGAAAGAAAAAAAAAAUCAGGAAUCUGUGUCACAUGCUUCUGUUCAACCAGGAACAUCUCGGGGAGUGCAGCCCUUAUGGGUGAGAUCUGCCACGGAGCGACGGGGAAACGCGACAUCCCACCGCCCGCAUUGCACAGCCCUGCCCUCCCCAAGUGCCUUCAGCACGUUGAAUCUAUUUGCUCUUGGGGGAGGUUAGGGGAGAAUGAAACCAAAACUGUGAGGGUCUUAAAAGUGGUUUCUGGAAGAAAAUGACAGUUUGGUCGGCAGGAGAUAGCGGAGCUGCAAAGUUGUCACUCGAGAUCUCCGCGCUGCCCCGGUUCUUCCAAUACCAGCGCUGCGUAUUACUUUGUGCGUGUUGCAAAUAGAGGCAAACAACACAGGAAAUUUUGACAGCUCUGCCUGAAAGGGCUUAAAUACUUCUCAGUAAGCAGGAUCCGGUUAUAAAUAAACCUCCUCUUGGUGAGAAAAAGUGGCUGCGACCAAAGACCUCGCCAUCUUUUUAUUAUUAUUAUUAUUUUUCAGGGCUGUCUUAUUAAAAGCGCAGAAGAGCUUCAGAAGAACAAACAAACAGACAAAUCUGGGGAGGGGGGGCGGCCGGAAAGUGCCCAUGGACGUGACUGGGGGAAGCCAUGAGGGAGCCGGGCUGGAGAAAGUUCCACCGAUCCGCCUUCCUCCUCUCCUCCUCCUCCUGCGGCCGCGGAGCCGCUGCUUUUCCCCGUGCCCGGGGAUCCCGGACCACAGCAUCCUCGUAGGGAAGGGGGAAAAGCAAUCGGAGCCCCCCAAAAAUGGGGGAAAAGGGCGAUUUCUCGGCGCCGAGCUGCUCGCCGGGGGUGGCCGAGAUCGCCUGGCCCCCGCUCCCCAAGGUCACGAAUGCAAAUGUAGCCUGCCGGCGGUGAAUGGGCUGAAUUGUGAUUAAGAAGAAGAAGAGCUCCUUUCUUUGUUCUCCCCUCAGGGGAUGUUUACUGGGAGAGACACAGCGGAUCAGAUAUGAAAGGCAUUCAGGUCAGCAUUGAUGUGAGCGAAAGUGAAAUCAUACCUAAGGCAUUCAAAAGACCGCCGUGUCAGGGGUUCAGCUAACGGUGCAUCUACUGUGUGUGUCUUCCCUGUUAGGCACAAAAAAAAAAAGAAGAAAAAAAAAGAAAAAAAAAAAAGAAAAAAAAAUACUUUCCACAAACAGGCUUUUUUUUUUUCCCUUUUUUUUCUUUUUUUUUUUUUUAAAUUACAACAAAAAUUAUGGGGAGAGGAGGACAAUAAAUACAAACUUUUCCUUCGCUGCACCUCCCGAGCAGGAGCCACUUGGUGCUCUGUCCCUGGCACAGCGGGCACAGAACAGGUCCACACGCAUUCAUUGCAGCCCUUGGGAUCAGAGUCAUUUUUAGGGGGAAAUGAUCUCGUCUGGAAUGUGCACCGUUGUAUUUCAGUGCCUUAUCUGUGUGUGUGCACACGGGCACCCUCUCCAUGCACACAGAGGUGUGUACGCACGCAUGGCGACAUCCACCAGACAUGGCUCUCCAUAAGCUGCGAGGCUUACUUCUGCCAUACGAAACACGGGCAAUCAUCCCUCGCCUCCCUCCUUCCAUGAUAAGGCAGCGUGGCACAUUGCAGCAGCACAGCACACCUCCAAAAGUGAUCUCCUAUUGACUUUGCAACUCCCAGGAAUACUUUGCAGACCGCUCACAGCCCACGAGGCCGGCGGUGCAGCACGCAAAGUUGGUGCUCAGCUAUGGAAGUUACACCGCCUCGAGGAGGAGAGGCAUUGUCCUUUUAUUUUCAUUAAACUUGCUUGAUCAAGAAAUAGCUGCAUCUUCCUUCCUCCCCUUAUUCUUUUUUUUUUUCGAGUGCGUGCUCCUCACAGCCUAAAUAUCCCCUCCAUAGACUUUCCACACAGCUAGCUGACGCUGUUGGCAUAAACACAGACACGUGAAUAUAUAGAAAGCACAAACUGCAGCUAAGCAUGCAGAGUUAGGAGGUGGCUGCACUCGUGGAAAAUGAAAACCACUCAACAGCAAAAAAUAACAAGAAAAAGGCUGAAAAAUUCAGCAGCGGCGAGCAUCCCCUCUGCUCUGGAUUUGUUUACACCUCCAGAGCCUUAGUUAAAAUAUAUGGGUUGUCUAAUGCUCACAUCUGCUUUAAUGGUGACGUUUAAUUCUGAGAUAUUUUCAACUAGUGUUUCUGCAGCACGGAUUUCUCCCCUUUUUCUCUUUACUCUAAAAAGACAACUAAAGAGCAAUCAAAAAGGUGUCUGACUUGGCCAUUCAGACAAUUGCACCCUUGUGGGAAUGCUGGAAUGAAUGGUACAGUGGACACCCCAGCACUAUUGACGUUAUAAACAUGUAAAUGAAACACAUUAGGGCAGACAAUCAAUUGUCUGUGAGCACUGCAAACCUGCACUCCCUUUCUGUGUGACAGGCACAAAAUAGUGUCUACCUUGGGAAGCCAUGGUCUUGGGGGAAAAAAAGGACAAAGAGUUCUCUUUCACAGAGGAGAAAAUGCACCUUAAAAGCACUGGGAUAAUGCAGAUGCCAAAAAGUGUUGUGAGGCGAAGAAUUUCCUAUUUCUUGGAAUGAAUGUGGGGCUGCUGUAAAAGGAUCAACACCCUUCUUCCCACUCUGAACGGACACACAUUUUUCUUGGGGGACGUUACCAGCCUGUCCUGAGAGCUCGCAUCUCCAUUUCCCUGAUAUUUCCCCCCUUGGGCAGCUGGCUAUCCAGUUAUCAACAAUUAGUUUGUAAUUGUUUCCUUCUUCCCCCCCCCCC